rnacentral:rRNA from 1 species
AGCAAUACAGAUUGAUGGCGACCGGCGCACGGGUGAGUAACGCGUAUGCAACUUACCUAUCAGAGGGGGAUAGCCCGGCGAAAGUCGGAUUAAUACCCCAUAAAACAGGGGUCCCGCAUGGGAAUAUUUGUUAAAGAUUCAUCGCUGAUAGAUAGGCAUGCGUUCCAUUAGGCAGUUGGCGGGGUAACGGCCCACCAAACCGACGAUGGAUAGGGGUUCUGAGAGGAAGGUCCCCCACAUUGGUACUGAGACACGGACCAAACUCCUACGGGAGGCAGCAGUGAGGAAUAUUGGUCAAUGGCCGAGAGGCUGAACCAGCCAAGUCGCGUGAAGGAAGAAGGAUCUAUGGUUUGUAAACUUCUUUUAUAGGGGAAUAAAGUGGAGGACGUGUCCUUUUUUGUAUGUACCCUAUGAAUAAGCAUCGGCUAACUCCGUGCCAGCAGCCGCGGUAAUACGGAGGAUGCGAGCGUUAUCCGGAUUUAUUGGGUUUAAAGGGUGCGUAGGUGGUGAUUUAAGUCAGCGGUGAAAGUUUGUGGCUCAACCAUAAAAUUGCCGUUGAAACUGGGUUACUUGAGUGUGUUUGAGGUAGGCGGAAUGCGUGGUGUAGCGGUGAAAUGCAUAGAUAUCACGCAGAACUCCGAUUGC